UAAUGGUGAUAAGGAAAACUUCUGAGCAUGCCCUUGAAUCUCUCCCAAUCUUGGUAGAUAUUUUCACUAUCCUUCUGUCUGAAACUCAAUAUAUCACUCCUUAAUCG
rfam:Capsicum annuum cultivar Zunla-1 chromosome 3, whole genome shotgun sequence